rnacentral:rRNA from 1 species
GGGUUGUGAGGUUAAGCGACCAAGCGUACACGGUGGAUGCCCUGGCAGUCAGAGGCGAUGAAGGACGUGCUAAUCUGCGAAAAGCGUCGGUAAGGUGAUAUGAACCGUUAUAACCGACGAUGUCCGAAUGGGGAAACCCAGUGCAAUUCGUUGCACUAUCGUUAACUGAAUACAUAGGUUAACGAGGCGAACCGGGGGAACUGAAACAUCUAAGUACCCCGAGG